GUGUCAGCAGCCGCGGUAACACCGGCAGCUCGAGUGGUAGCCGCGUUUAUUGGGCCUAAAGCGUCCGUAGCCGGUCCGAUAAGUCUCUGGUGAAAGCCCACAGCUUAACUGUGGGAAUCGCUGGAGAUACUGUCGGACUUGAGGCCGGGAGAGGCUGGAGGUACUCCCAGGGUAGGGGUGAAAUCCUGUAAUCCUGGGAGGACCACCUGUGGCGAAGGCGUCCAGCUGGAACGAACCUGACGGUGAGGGACGAAAGCCAGGGGCGCGAACCGGAUUAGAUACCCGGGUAGUCCUGGCCGUAAACGAUGUGGACUUGGUGUUGGGAUGGCUUCGAGCUGCCCCAGUGCCGAAGGGAAGCUGUUAAGUCCACCGCCUGGGGAGUACGGUCGCAAGAUUAAAACUCAAAGGAAUUGGCGG
rnacentral:rRNA from 1 species